GGGGAAUAUUGCACAAUGGGCGAAAGCCUGAUGCAGCAACGCCGCGUGUGUGAAGAAGGCCUUCGGGUUGUAAAGCACUUUCAGCGGGGAGGAAGGCGGUGAGGUUAAUAACCUUGUCGAUUGACGUUACCCGCAGAAGAAGCACCGGCUAACUCCGUGCCAGCAGCCGCGGUAAUACGGAGGGUGCAAGCGUUAAUCGGAAUUACUGGGCGUAAAGCGCACGCAGGCGGUCUGUCAAGUCGGAUGUGAAAUCCCCGGGCUCAACCUGGGAACUGCAUUCGAAACUGGCAGGCUAGAGUCUUGUAGAGGGGGGUAGAAUUCCAGGUGUAGCGGUGAAAUGCGUAGAGAUCUGGAGGAAUACCGGUGGCGAAGGCGGCCCCCUGGACAAAGACUGACGCUCAGGUGCGAAAGCGUGGGGAGCAAAC
rnacentral:rRNA from 1 species